UACGUAGGGGGCAAGCGUUGUCCGGAUUUAUUGGGCGUAAAGAGCGUGUAGGCGGCCUAGUAGGUCAGCUGUGAAAACUCGAGGCUCAACCUCGAGCUGUCGGUUGAAACCACUAGGCUAGAGUCCGGAAGAGGAGAAUGGAAUUCCCGGUGUAGCGGUGAAAUGCGCAGAUAUCAGGAAGAACACCCGUGGCGAAGGCGGCUCUCUGGGACGGUACUGACGCUGAGACGCGAAAGCGUGGGGAGCGAACAGG
rnacentral:rRNA from 1 species